rnacentral:lncRNA from 1 species
CAACUUGGCUUAAGGCCCUCACUUUUGCUAUUCUUACACGAUCCCGUUUAAGUGGUUCAACAACUAGUUCUUUACUUACCAAGAUGCCACAUGACUGUGUUCCUUUUUUGGAAUAUCACCUUGCUCGGAACCCAAGUAAUCGGGACUUGGCAAUUCCUCUGCUAUCUACUCAUGUUCCUUACAGUUGUUUACCUAAAUCUAUCAUUUCUUCUAGUUGCAAGAUUAUUUACAUUUGCAGGGACGCAAAGGAUGCUUUUGUUUCUUUGUGGUGCUUUGUUUCCGCGCAUCAAAUGUCGAAAAAUGUUGAACCUCUUCCUCUGGAAGAGGCCUUUGAGAUGUUCUGCAAUGGAAUUUCAAUCUUGGGACCAUAUUGGGACCAUGUUUUAGGGUAUUGGAGAGCAAGCUUAGAGUUCCCUGAGAAGAUAUUGUUCUUGACAUACGAGGAAAUUAAGAAAGACACCGCUGCUCAUGUUAAGAAACUAGCUGAGUUCAUGGGUUGUUCUUUCACCUUAGAGGAAGAGGAGGAAGGGGAGGUGCAAGAGAUAAUAAGCAUGUGUAGUUUUGAGAAGUUGAGCAACUUGGAGGUGAAUAAAAAUGGGAAGCACCGUCUAGACACAUCAAUUGCUAUUCAAAAUAGUUUAUACUUCAGGAAAGGUGAGAUAGGCGACUGGGCAAAUCACUUGACACCUGAAAUGGGAGCGCGUCUAGAUGACAUAAUGGAGCGGAAGCUCAAGGGUUCAGGCUUGAAGCUGCCCAGGUGACCGUGCCUGGGGUCCCAUUUGCUUAUGAUUAUUGCCGAAGUGGGUUCAUCAAAAGAUGUUAUCAGCAUGUCGUGAAACAGCAACGUGUAUCCCAAUAAAUACCCUCUCUGUUCAUAGCAAGUAUUCACAUUUUGUGAAUCUUCCAUGUGAAUAAGCAAUAUUCUUUUGUGAAUCUGUGUUUGUGACUUUCAUUGAUUUCCUUGCAUGUUUGUAAGAAUUCAAAAUGGGAUUCGUUUUUUUUUUUUUUAACACAAGUGCAUGCAUUCCAUUCAUCAGUUUGAUAAAAAAUAAAUUUACUCUAAUAUAUAAUAUUAGAGUGUUUUCUUCACAGAAAUUGCAGUGUGUUUUUCUUCACAGCUAUACAUGUUUGAAAAGAACCGAGACAGCCAUACAUGAGGGCGGAGCAAAGACCAACCGAGACAACCAUCCAUUAAGAUUGUUGAAUUGCAGAUCAAAUGAACGUAGGAGAACUCGUGUUUUCCACUCCUAAAAUAAGCCCAGUUGCCGGCUUCAUUUGCAACAGAGACACAUAAAGAAUCUGAAAGCAGUUUUUAUGCACUAUCAGCAAAAUAAUUUGACCAGUCAGAAUGAUGUUUUCCCCCUUACUAGGCUCAGAUCACAAUCCUUCUUACUUCAAACAAGUCUUUUGGAACCGAUAUGUCGAGGGAUGGCUUGAUUUAUACCGGAGAUUUUGAUGGAAACUUAAAGAAGCGUGGCUUAAUUAUACCUUGGAUGCGCAAAUUGAUUACAGGGAAAAAAUGACAGAAAGUGAGUUGCAGGGAAUGAAAAAGGCAUUAGUAAACUCAACACCUUUCAGGGCAUCGUUCCUUGGUUUACUCCCUUCUAUUUCUUAUUUUGUUUUUCCUGCCAUUGUCUAAUGUUUUUCUAACUCGCAGUCUGGUCUCUGCAGAGAAUGAGAAAGCAAAAACUCUUUAAGAGAAGAUAUUCUCCGGCGAUGGCAUCAACUAAGUGCGUGUUUGGCGCUCCGGCUAUGUUUACAGAAAAAACAUCGUGGUCAUGUUUUUGGUUACAGUCUAAACAUAAUUAUCUGUUUGUGGACCCGUUAUCAUUUGCUUUUAAACCGCAAGAUAACCAAAAACAACUUCAAGCUGCCUUCUGUGUUGAGUUGCAAACUUUAUAAACAAAGGCCACAAGAAAAAGAGCAGAAACAUAGCAGUGAAUAAUGAACAGUGGAGAGCAGCUCCCUCUGACCACCGGCAUCCGCCGUUUUCACCGCCAACCACUGCUCAUCCUCUUCCCCUUCUCUUUCUCCUUCUUCUUUGUCUUCUGCAUUGUCCACUGUUCACGUUGCAUGUGAACAGUGGAGAGCAGCUCACCACCGGCCUCCGCUGUUUCUACCGCCAGUCACUGCUCUUCCUCUUCCCCUUCCCCUUCCCCUUCUUCUUCUACAUUCUCCACUGUUCACGUGAACAGUGGAGAGCGUCUCCACUAUUCAUGGCCGGAUUGGGUCUGGCCCAAACCUAAAUGCAUUGGACCGGGUCCAACCUAAAUGCAUUGGACCGGGUCCAAUCAAGUAAAAUAAAAAAAUCUAAAAAUAUUUCUUAGAUAUUGUGUUUUAUUUGAAAAACUAGUGUUUAAAAUUAUUCAAUGACACUACAUAAUUAUAUUAGAAGGAGAUCGCAUGAUGACGUAGCAUUUGCAGAAUUUGAUUGCAAUCCCAAUUUUAUUCCUAAUGAUAUUUUACCUGAUGUGAUGAUAUUUUACCUGAUGUUGGUGCACGUUCAAGAAGCCAUGAAAACUGUAGUUUUUGUCGGAUGGAUUUCGUACGUGAUUGAAUUGCAAAUAAUUUAAUGAAACAAUAAAAAAUACUUUAUAUAAAGUAUUAUUUAUUUCAUGAUGUAAUAGCAGUAGUUAAAUCUAUAAUAUUCCAAUUAAAAACCAUCAAUAUUAAUAUAUAUAUGUUUUUUUUAAUUAUUUUAUAACCUCAAUUUGAAAAACAUUCUUUAAACCAAACACAUUAAACUACUUUUUGUUCAACCUCAAUUUCAACCACAAUUUUAACCAAAUAUAUAUUUUUUCAAAUCAACCUCAACUAAAAAUACUUUGUAUAAAACAACUUUUUUAAACUACAAUCAUAACAGGUAUCACAAUACCAAAGACACACAAAGCUGUACUGAUAAGCAAGUUAAAGUGCCACCAUUGAUUUAGGAUCUGCUUUAUAUCUUAUAAGGUGAAAGUAAAACACAAGGAAAUGCAUGCAUGCACACCACUAAUCUUUGAUUCUGGCGAGAACAGUGAUGACUACACACACAACCAUAUAGAAUUACAUUCCAAGAUGAAGAAAUUAAUAACAGAGCAGUGCUAUAAAGCUAAAUGGGAGAACCAGAGAUUAAUAAGCAAUGCUGAAAAUUUUAUCAUGCAUAAGAUGAGAGAAGCAUAGGACAUAUUUUAUCAAAUCUAUAGUUUUUCUUUAAUAAUAAUAAUAUUUUUAAAAAAUUUAAUAAUAAUAAUAAUAAUAAUAAAAACUCAUGUUCUUUGAUUCUGACUUCCCUUACCAGACUGAAGUUACCACAGUCAGACCCAAGUAACUUAGGUGUGACGCUCCUGUUAGACUCAAGUUAUUUGGGUAUGAUAUCUCAUGCUGGACUCAUAGUAUUCAAGAUCAAAGGUGUUGAUAUCUAACAAUCAUACCUCACCCAAGCCCUAAGAUGUGAUUGCUUUUCUAGACCAGAGCGCAAGGCACCAAGACACUAAGAUACUAUUCACCAUAAGUCAAGUCAAUGAACCAAUUAAUUGAUUUUAAAGAUCAAGUUUUUUUUUUAAAUAGAGAAACAAAACUUUUAUUAACAUUGAAAUAACUCCUAAAAUUUUAAUAAAAUUAAUUUGAAGUAAAAAUAAUAUUAGAAAAAUAUUUAGAAGCACUUUUUUAUUGUAAAAUCAAACACACUAAAAUCAUGUAGAUUUUCAUUUAGACACUAAAAUUCAAGAAGAAAUUAAGUUCACACAGUACUAUUAAUUCAAUCGAUGAAGGAUUAGUCCCAACUACUUUAGGGCCACCAUUGACAUUGAUUACUUUGAAUAAUUUUAAUUUAUAGGCAUAAAAAAUUAAUACAUAUCUUUAAGAGGAUCAAUUUUAGAUUCUCUCUCUCUCUCUCUCUAUUUUUUUUUUGGUUUUCAAAUAUUUGACAUUUUCGUUUAGAUAAGCUCUAGUGUGUGUUUUUUUUAGAUUAUUUUAAAUCAUGUUUCUUGAAAUGUCAAAAACAUUUCAUGGAUUAAUUUAACUUAAUAACGCCAAAGAAUUAGGAAUUAAAACUGAUAAUUUCCACCAAGUAAGAGUACCUAAUUGAAAAUUUACUUUCUUAUCAUUUACCUCAAUUAAGCGGAAGCAUGAUCAUGAGAAGGGAUUUGGGAGGCACUUAGAUUAGGCUCUUCUCUAGUCUUGAGAAGCAGAACCAAUAGAGACGUGAUUGCGCACUCCCUGAGCUAUAUAGUAAGUGGCUGCAAACAAAUUGUCAGCACCAAUUCAGGUCCGGAAAAUUAAAGCAUUGAAGCAUAAAAGGUGACCUAACCUGAUUAAGCAAAUUACUACUUAUUCCAGCAUCACCUAGGAGUGAGACAGCCAGCCCUCCAGUGUCUACAUGGUAUGGGAAUAAUUCCUUCAAGAACGCAGAGAAAAUUAUACUUGCAAUACAACUAUAAACGAGAUGGUACAGUGCGGAAGGCUAUAAACGAGAUGGUACAGUGUGGAAGGCAAGAUGUUAAAUAUGAUCAGGACAAAAAAAUAAAUAAAGAAAGAAAGAGUGUUUAUUUCACAAUGAUCGAUAUGAUGCUUCUUUCCAUGUGGAAUCUUCGUCAAAGACUUGUUGAAAAUGCCAAAUUGUGAUCCACUUUUGGCUGUGUCAAAUGCAUGGGUGGGGUUUCACACAGAGCUAUUACCCCUUGUGUAAACUCAACGCCAGUUUUCAUGAGUUCUUUGGGAUUCUAACAUAGUAAAAAAAAAUGAUAAAAUAACGAAGUGUAAAGAAUAUGUAGUGAAAUAGAUAUUUGUAAUUAAUCAGUUGCAAUUAUUAUAUGCUCGCUCUCUCAGAUUUACUGGACAGAAGAUUUAUUAAAAAGAGAUGAGAAAAUAAUUAAAAGAGAAAGAAAAGAAAAAAAAAACUUCAAGGUAUAUCAAAACUCUGAUAAUAAUAUUAUUGGUAUUGUUGAAACAAAUCUAAAAAUAUCAAUAAAGAUCACCAAUAAUGAUCAUAGUAGGUCAUACGAGUGACCGAGAUAAAUGAGUCUCAAUACUUUUAAACAGCUCGUAUAAUCUAUUUUAUUUAUUAUUUAUUUUUUUUUAUGUUGUUAAAUUCAUCUUAUAAUGAUGCCGAUAAUGUUAUCAUUAUAAUUUCAAUGUAUUUCUAUUAUUAUUAUUUUUUGUUUUGCUCUCUCUCCUCUCUUUCCUUAUAAUUUAUGAAGAGUUAGAGAGGGGAAAAAAAAACCCUAGUCUUCCACUUUAAUCUGGCUGAAUACUAUAUUUUUCCUUAAUUAUUCACUACUUUGUCAAUGCAAACUAUAUUUUUCCUUAAAUAAGAUCUAAUCCACCAGCGGAUAGGUGAUCAAGAAUAUUAAAUUAGUGUAAAACUUGAUUUAAUUCAACAUUAUAAAUUCGAGGUGCUAUAAUAAUGUGAAAAAAAAGAAUAAAAAAACUAGAUUCAUCAUCAUCAUUAUUAUAUUAGUAUAAUAAUGUUUGUCACUUUGUUGUAUUAUUUUUUAAUUGUUUAGUUGUUUACUAUAUGUUAAAAUUUCAAGAUCUUCAAAGAUUGGUAAGAUCUUAAGGAUCUAGAGUUACUAUGGGACCGUCUUUAUUUUCCUAUUUGGAUUUUUUUUAUUUAUAUUAAGAAUUUAAAUUUAAUUAGUAUUUUAUUAUUUAAAAAUUCUAACGGUAAAUUGAUUCUAUUAGUCAGGCUAAUUUUAAGUAUAAAUUAUUUUUUUAUACAAAAUUUUAAAUUUAGAAUUAAUAUAAAUAAAAAUGUUUAGUUUAUUUUUUAAAGUGUUUUUGUUUAAAAAUACAUCAAAAUAAUAUAUUUUUAAAUUUUUUUUAUUAUUCAUCUUUUACAUCAAAACAUUUAAAAAACAUAAAAAAAAACAAUUAGAAAACGCAAGAUUGCAUCAAUGCUAAAUGCAAUCUCUCUCUCUCUCUCUCUCUCUCUCUCUCUCUCACACACACACACACACACACACACACACACACACACACGAUCCACCUCUGGUGUCAAAUGCAUAGUGAUGUUCCACAGCGAGCCACUAUCUAUUAUGUAAAAUCUCAACAAGUGAGAAAUGUCAUAGAUCAUUUGGUCUAAUUUACGGGGACAGAGUUGUGGAGUUGGGGGCUGUAAAUAUUCCUCAAAAGAUCGAGUCUUAAGGUCUCGGAACUAUUAUAUGACGGGGGAUAAAAAAACAAAUACUACGAGGGUCGAAAUAAAUAUUUUUUACUGGUUGAUGGUAUCCACAAAUGCUACGAGCAAUAAUAAAAUUUUUUGGAUUGAAUAAUCAGUUAAUUAAUUAGUUUUAAUAAUUUUUUUUAUUUUUCUUAACUAAAGUGGUUAAAAGCGCUUAUAUUUAUCAUUGAUAGGUCAAAGCUACUCGUUAAUACAUUUAAAAGAUUUUUUUUGAUGGAGGUAAAGACUUUCCGAUAUUUAAAUAAAUAAUUUUUUAGAAAGAAAAAAUAAAUGAAUAUUCUAUAGAGAGAUACUCUGAAAAUACAAAUGCACAAGAGAAUUGGAGAUUGUGAACCUUUGUUCUGAAGAUUUUAUGAUGUAUUUAUAACUUAUAAGUUUUGUCCUUUUGUGAAAAUAAGGGUUUGGAGUGUAAUUACCCUGAUAACAUUUAAUGAGGAAUAAAUAUCCCUUGCAUAAUGGGAAUAUGGUGGGUCCUCGAAUGGUUUUUAUACACCUAAAAAGCUAUAGGGAGAUUAGAGUUUAAGACGUCAAGUGUAGCUGAGCCUAUAGAGAUCAAGUUCUUUCCUGAGAUUAGAUCGAAGAGAGGUUGGUCAUUCUCCUAGAUAUGCCAAUGGAGAAUGAUCAAUAUUUUGGACUUGGUUGGCUGCAAAAUCCAAGUACCUUGAGCCUGAUAUGCGUGUCAAAUCCACCCUAUCUUGAAAUUGGAGCACUACCAAGUCCUAGCGCCUUGGAUCUGACAUGCAUGCCAGAUCCAUGCUACGUUGGACUUGGUGCACUAUCAAGUCCAAACACCUUGGGUCUAGUGUGCGUGUUAGACCCACAUUAUAUUGGGUUUGACGCAUUACUAUACAUGUCCAAGCACCUUGAACUUGAUUGAUUGUCAAGUCCAUGCAUUAUAGAUUUGAUAUAUGUGUCAGAUCCAUAUUACCUUAAGCUUGACGCACUAUUAAGUUAAAGUGUCUUGAAUUUAGAAUUUCUCAGGAUCCAUAAAUUUUAAAGAACCAAACAAAAACUAAAUAAAAAAUUGACUCAUCACUAAUCUAUAAAUACUAUCUACAUAAUGGCCUUAGUUGAUAACUUCUACCACCCACUGCACUUACUUCAAUAAUGAAAAAUAUUUUUUCCUUUUAAUGGAAAAGACAUUUUAACUCCAUCUUCAAUUACUUUACAUAAAUGUUUCCUUCUUUUUUAGAUAUUGGGUUUAGAAAACACAAUCAUGCUAAAAAUUUAUUAUCAACUAUAAAAUGUAUUUUUUUUAUAUUUUAUAUAUAUUUUUUAAUUAUUUUUUAUAUUUUCAUAUUGUUUUGAUGUGCUAAUAUUAAAAUUAAAUUUUUAAAAAUAAAAAAUAUUAUUUUAAUAUAUUUUUAAAUUAAAAAUAUUUUAAAAAAUAACCGCUAACACAAUAACAAACAAGAUUUAAAUAAAAAAAAUUAUAAUUACAUCAGCAAUCAAGAAUACUAAAAUAGUGUAAAUUUUGACUUAAUUCAAUUAUGAGAAUUGGGGGCAGCGUAACAAUUUGAAAUAAAAUGGCAGAAAAGGAGGGCAAACAGUACAAAUACCUUGAAUAAUGGUGACCAAAUAUUUGUAAUUUGAGACAUCUCGUUCUCGCAAGGAAAUAGUUAAGAGUGCCAAUAAUUAAUCUGCUCUCAACUUGCUUCAAAUAGCUGCCAUGUCCACAUAUUCAAGAAACAAAUAUUUCCACUAAAGGUUUAUAUGGUCGUUAAUUUCAGGAUCUGUGGGAUUAGUCGAGCUGCGCGCAAGCUAACCCGAACACCCACAUUAAACUAAAAAAAAAAAUAUUUUUUACUAGUCUAGAAAUGCUAUCUCCUAAAUUGUUUAUUGUUCUAUGAUUCAACCAUCCUGUUUUUUAUAAAAAUAUUGAUUUUUUCAUAAAUUUUUUUAGUAUUUUUAAAUUAUUUUAAUGUAUAAAUAUAAAAAUAAUUUUUAAAAACUUUAUUUUAAUAUAUAUAUUUUAAAAAUUUCUUUAAAAAAUAAUUAUCACCGCAUUUCCAAACUUCACAUCCCUGUAUUAAUGGAUUGUGUUGUCCCUGUAUUAAUGGAUUGUGUUGUGGGCUCCACGCCAUUUAAAGCUUGUGAGAGAAACUACACCUAUAAACUGAAACCACACGAUAACACUAAAGAUUUGCUAAUUCGGGAGUGUUUGUUUUUAUAUAUAAAAGUAUUUUUAAAAAAAGUUAAUUUUUUAAAAUUAAUUUUUUAAUAGUUUUAUAUUAUUUUAAUGUAUUAAUAUUAAAAAUAAUUUUUAAAAUAUAAAUUUUUUAUUUAAUAUAUUUUUUUUAAAAUAUAAAAAUACUCUUGAAAACAGCGGUUAUAAAAUACUCUUAAAAAAUAAAUAAAAAUACUCUUGAAAACAGCGGCUAUAACCUUCCCAAACUUCACAUCCCCAAAUUAUUAAGAGGCCGUUUGUUUGCGUGGUUGCUUCUGCGUUUGAAGCAACCACAGCAAACAUAAUGUUUGGUAAUAUUAAAAAUGCUAAAAAUGACCGGUGGGACCCAUGCCAAUUCACGUUUUGAACGCGACAUUGGUGAAGCAGCUCGUGACUGCUUUUUUAAAUUUUGUAUUUGCGUGCACAGUGCAAUUCACUUGCACUGUGCACGCCAACAGUGUAAUUCACUUGCAUUGUUCGGGUGAUUUUUUUUAUUUUUUUAUUUAGUGUGUAUAGUUUUUUUAUAUAUAUUUUUUAAAAAAACUAGUUUUACAUUGUCAUGUAAACAAUAUUUUUUUUCCCGAAAAACUAGUAUAGAGCGAAUUAAAUUCACUCGCACUGUAAUAUCAAAUUAAUUUUAUUCCUAAUAAUAUUUUAUCUAAUUUUAUUGCAUGCUCAAAAAAUUAUAGAAACUGUAGUUCUUGUCGAAUGAAUUUUGUACGUAAUGGAAUUGUAGAUGGUUUAAUGGCAUAAUAAAAAAUAUUUUAUAUAAAGUAUUAUUUAUUUCAUGAAGUAAUAGUAAUAGUUAAAUCUACAAUAUUUAAAUUAAAAAUCAUCAAUUUUAAUAUAUAUUUUUUAAAAUUAUUUUAUAACUUUAAUUUCAAAAGCAUUCUUAACCAAACAUAUUAAACUACUUUUUAUUUAACCUCAAUUUCAACCACAAUUUUAACCAAACACCUAUUUUUUCAAACCAACCUCAAUUAAAAGUACUUUUUAUAAAAUAACUUUUUUCAAACCACAACUACAACAGCUACAGCAAUACCAAACACACUCUAAAUUGCAGACGUUUGGCAGUGUGUUCAAAAACAUAUUUUUAAAAAAAAUUGAUUUUUUUUAUUUUAAAUUAAUAUAUUUUUAAUAUUUUUAAAUUAUUUUGAUGUAAAUCUUAAAAAUAAUUUUUAAAAACUAAAAAAAUAUUAUUAACAUAUUUUUUUAAAUAAAAAAUAUUUUAAAAAAUAACCUCAGCUAUUCACACACAGCCGGAAAGAAGAGAAACCACACAAUCACGCUAAAGAUUUGCUAUCGAAUAUAAUAUGACAUAAAACCCAAUUGCAUCAGCGGGCAUGUGAUCAAUAAUAUUAAAAUAAGGUAAUAGUUGAUGGGGCCACAAAUUAAACCAGCUCUCAACUCGCUACAAAUAGCUGCAAUGGCCUUUCAUUCUACGUUAUAUUUUCAUUUUUUACUUUCAUGGAAUCCUCUUUGCCUUCCACCCAAAUCUUGGAUUCUGGUGACAGUGCAGAGAGGAAAAAUGAAGCUAAAAAUUACAAUGAAGUGAUGUCCACCUUUCCGAAAGUUAAAGGCUUGAAUGGGUAUGAUUAUUACCUGUACCAAGGCUUUUGGUACGCUCCCUUCUUCUUGGAAGGACUCAUGUCUGUUCAAGAGGGCUUCAAUCCUCAAUCCACUGAUAUAUUUGUCGCCAGUUUUCCAAAAACUGGCACAACUUGGCUUAAGGCCCUCACUUUUGCUAUUGUCACACGAUCCCGUUUAAGUGGUUCAACAACUAGUUCUUUACUUACCAAGAUGCCACAUGACUGUGUUCCUUUUUUGGAAUAUGACCUUGCUCAAAACCCCAGUAAUCGGGACUUGGCAAUUCCUCUGGUAUCUACUCAUGUUCCUUACACUUGUUUACCUAAAUCUAUCAUUUCUUCUAGUUGCAAGAUUAUUUACAUUUGCAGGGACGCAAAGGAUGCUUUUGUUUCUUUGUGGUACUUUCUUGCCAGGCUGCAAAUGUCGAAAAAUGUUGAACCUCUUCCUCUGGAAGGGGCAUUUGAGUUGUUUUGCAAUGGAAUUGCAAAUUUUGGACCAUAUUGGGACCAUGUUUUAGGGUAUUGGAGAGCAAGCUUCGAGUUCCCUGAGAAGAUAUUGUUCUUGACAUAUGAGGAAAUGAAGCAAGACACAGCUGCUCAUGUUAAGAAAUUAGCUGAGUUCAUGGGUUGUUCUUUCACCUUAGAGGAAGAGGAGGGAGGGGAGGUGCAAAAGAUAAUAAGCAUGUGUAGUUUUGAGAAGUUGAGCAGCUUGGAGGUCAAUAAAAAUGGGAAGCACCGUCCGGACACAUCACUUGCUAUUCAAAACAGUGUAUACUUCAGGAGAGGUGAGAUAGGCGACUGGGCAAAUCACUUGACACCUGAAAUGGGAGCACGUCUAGAUGACAUAAUGGAGCAGAAACUCAAGGGUUCAGGCUUGAAGCUGCCCAGGUGACUGUGCCUAGGGUCCCAUUUGCUUAUGAUUAUUGCCCAAGCGGGUUCAUCAAAAGCUGUUAUCAACAUCUCGUGAAACAGAAACUGUGUAUCCCAAUAAAUACCCUCUUUGUUCAUCUCUUGUAUUUCCUAUCAAGUAUUCACAUUUUGUGAAUCAUCCAUGUCAAUAAGCAAUGUUCUUUUGUGAAUCUGUGUUUGUGACUUUCAUUGAUUUCCUUGCAUGCUUGUAAGAAUUCAAAAUGGGAUUCGUUUUUUUAUUUAUUUAUUUAACACAAGUGCAUGCAUUCCAUUAAUCAGUUGGAUAAAAAAUAAAUUUACUCUAAUAUAUAAUAUUAGAGUGUUUUCUUCACAGAAAUUGCAGUGUGUUUUCUUCACAGUUAUACAUGUUUUAAAAGAACCGAGACAACCCAUACAUGAGGGCGGAGCAAAGACCAACCGAGACAACCAUCCAUUAAGAUUGUUGAAUUGCAGAUCAAAUGAACGUAGGCGGCACAUCUGCUGGAAGGAUCUCGAAAUGCCUUGUAAUUGGUUAAAAUAAAGAUCAAGAUCUGUAGGAGAACUCGUGUUUUCCACUCCUAAAAUAAGCCCAGUUGCCGGCUUCAUGUGCAACAGAGGCACAUAGAGAAUCUGAAAGCAGUUUUUAUGCACUAUCAGCAGAAUAAUUUGAUCAGUCAGAAUGAAAACCCCCCCCCCCAGGCUCACAAAUCUUCUUACUUCAAACAAAUCUUUUGGAACCGAUAUAUAUGUCGAGUGAUGGCUUGAUUUAUACCGGAGAUUGUGUUGGAAAAUUAAAGAAGCAUGGCUUAAUUUGUACCUUGGAUGCGCAAAUUGAUUACAGGGAAAAAAUGACAGAAAGUGAGUUGCAGGGAAUGAAAAAGGCAUUAGUAAACUCAACACCUUUCAGGGUAUCGUUCCUUGGUUUGCUCCCUUUUAUUUCUUAUUUUGUUUUUCCUGCCAUUGUCUAAUGUUUUUCUAACUCGCAGUCUGGUCUCUGCAGAGAAUGAGAAAGCACAAACUCUUUAAGAGAAGAUAUUCUCCGGCAAUGGCAUCAAACAGAAAAGUCCGACGUCAACUAAGUGAGUGUAUAGCGUUGCUGCUGUGUUUACAGAAAAACACCAUUGUCAUGUGUUUGGUUACGGUCUAAACAUAAUUUUUUAUCGGUGAGACCCAUUACCAUUUGCAUUUAAACCGCAAGAUAACCAGAAGCAACUUUAAGCUGCGUUUUGUUUUGAGUUGCAAAUUGUGUUAUAAAUAGAGGCCACAAGAAAAAGAGCAGAAACAGAGCAGUGAAUAGUGAUUAGUGGAGAGCAACUCCCUCUCACCACUGACCUCCGCCAGCCACUGCUUUUUCUCUUCUCCUUCUCUUCUCGUUCUCCUUCGUCUUCUGCAUUCUCUACUGUUCACGUGAACAAUGGAGAGUGGAGAGCAGCUCACCAUCAACCCCUGCUGUUUCCACCGCCAGCCACUGCUCUUCCUCUUCCCCUUCUCCUUCGUCUUUUACGUUCUCCACUGUUAAUGUGAACAGUGGAGAGCAGCUCACCACCGGCCUUCACUAUUUCCACUGCCAGCCACUGCUCUUCCUCUUCCCCUUCCCCUUCUCCUUCCCCUUCUCCUUCUCAUUCAUCUUCUGCAUUCUCCACUGUUCAUGGCCGGACUGGGCCUAGCCCAAACCUAAAUGUAUUUGACUGGGUCCGACCCAGUAAAAUAAAAAAAAAUCCAAAUUUUUUUUCUUAAAUAUUGUGUUUUAUUUGAAAAACUAGUGUUUAAAAUUAUUCAAUGACACUACAUAAUUAUAUUAGAAGGAGAUCGCACGAUGACGUAGCAUGUGCAGAAUUUGAUUGCAAUCCUAAUUUUUUUCCUAAUGAUAUUUUACAUGAUGUAAUGAUAUCUUACCUGAUGUUGGUGCAAGUUCAGGAAGCCAUGGAAACUGUAGUUCUUGUCGGAUGGAUUUCGUAUAUGAUUGAAUUGCAAAUAGUUUAAUGGAACAAUAAAAAAUACUUUAUAUAAAGUAUUGUUUAUUUCAUGAUGUAAUAGCAGUAGUUAAAUCUAUAAUAUUUCAAUUAAAAACCAUCAAUAUUAAUAUAUGUCUUUUUUAGUUAUUUUAUAACCUCAAUUUGAAAAGUAUUCUUUAACCAAACACAUUAAACUACUUUUUGUUCAACCUCAAUUUCAACCACAGUUUUAACCAAACAUAUAUUUUUCCAAACUAAUCUAAACUAAAAGUAUUUUUUAUAAAAACAAUUUUUUUCAAACCACAACAGCUACCACAAUACCAAACACACACAAAAAAAACUGUACUGAUAAGUAAGUUACAAUGCCACCACUGAUUUAGGAUCUGCUUUAGAUCUUAUAAGGUGAAAGUUGAAAGCUAGCAAGAAUCGUCACAGAGAUGAACAGAGAAGUGAAUAGAAUUAGAGGGAGAUACUGCAAUGCAGAGGAAGAAGAAAAACAUUUCUGUGUAUAUUCACUUAUAUUUUUUUACCAGCGCUGUUACAUUCAUUUUAUAUGAACCAAGAUGAGAAGCUUGUUUACGUAAUCUAAUCAACAGUAACAGACUUUGUUAACUGUCUAACAAUAUUAACAAACUUUCUAACCAUUGUAUUCUCUAUUCUCUUGACAGGUGGCAGAAGCAGAGCCUUUGAUAUCUUGACAUUCCCCCUCAAUCACAAGCGUGAAGGAACCAAGCAUAAGAUUGGAACAGUGACGCCGAAAUAAAGGAGUGGAAAGACCUUUAGUUAGGAUAUUAGCAAAUUGAUCGGUAGAAGAGACAUGUUGAACCAACAAAUCACCUUUGACAACACGUUCUCAAACAAAAUGAUAAUCAAUUUGGAGAUGCUUCAUUCUGGAAUGGAAGACUGGAUUGGAAGCAAGGGAAAUAGUUGAGAUAUUGUCAUAAUGAAUUAACGGAGGGAUAUGUAAAGGAAUGUGAAUGUCACAGAGCAGUUGGCGAAUCCAGGCAAGUUUGGCAGCAGCAAUUGCUAGAGCCCGAUACUCAACCUCAGUAGAUGAUCGAGAAACAAUAUGUUGUUUCUUAGAAGCCCAAGAAAUAGGACUGGAGCCGAGGAAAACAAUAGAGCCAGAGACAGAACGUCGAUCAUUGGGAUCGCCAACCCAGUCAGCAUCACUAUAAGCUUGUCGAUUAAGAAGACUAGGCUGAAAAUGAAGGCCAAAAUCAAGGGUACCUUUAAGAUACCGCAAGAUUCUUUUGACAGCCACAACAUAAGAAUGCAUGGGAUUAUGCAUAAAUUGACAAGCUCGGUUCAUAGAGAAAGCAAUAUCGAGCCUGGUGAACGUGAGAUACUGCAAUGCGCCAACUAUGCUCCGAUAUUGUUGUGGAUGAGAGUAGGCUUAGCCAUCAUCUUUGAGCAAAUGAUGAUGAGGAAGACAAGAAGUAUCAAAUGAUUUGGAAUUUUGUAAAUCAACUCUAGCAAGUAAGUCUGUGAUAUAACUUAUCUAGGACACAAACAAACCAGAAGGGAGAUAAGAGAUUUGCAAUCCCAAAAAAUAAUUCAACUUACCGGUAUCCUUCAUAUCAAAUUUCUGAGUCAAGGCAGCAAUGACUGAAGAAAGAAGAGAAUAAUGACUGCUAGUAAGAAUGAUAUCAUCUAAAUAGAGUAGCAAUAUCACAACACUAAGAGAAGAAUGCUGAACAAACAAAGAGGGAUCGACAAGAGAUGCUUGAAACCCCAAACAUGGUAAAAAAACUGGUAAAACGUUCAUUCCAGGCACGAGGAGCCUGUUUAAGGCCAUACAAGGACUUUCUUAGUCUGCAAACAAAGUUAGCAGGAUAAAGCUUACUCAUAAAACCUUGGGGUUGAGUCAUAUAAACCUCCUCAUGAAGAAUACCAUGCAAAAAGGCAUUGGUAACGUCAAGCUACCGUAAGGACCAGUUAAACUGAGCUGCAAGAGUAAGAAUUAAACGAACCAUAGUAGGUUUUAUGACAGGACUGAAAGUUUCAUUAUAGUCAAUUCCUUCCUCUUGAAUGAAACCCUUAGCCACCAAUCGAGCUUUAUGCCUAGCUAUAGAACCAUCCGCAUGCUUCUUGAGUCGGUAGACCCAUUUACAGCCAACAAGAUUCUUAGCAGGUGGGAGAGGCACCAAAUCCUAAGUACCUUAUGCAUGAAGAGCAUCAAUUUCCUCCCACAUAGCAGACUGCCAUUCUGGAAAGGUUGAAGCAGCCUUGAAGGAACUGGGUUCAACCUGAGAAAAAGCAACAGACUAUACAGAGGUAAAGUAAGCCUUUCUUUUGGAAAUACCAUUCUUAAACCUGAUGGUCAUUGGAUGAAGAUUCAUCGGUGAAAGAGGUAAGACCACACACAGAUUCUCAGGUUGGAAGUCAGGAUCAAAUCUAGUGACAAAGAAGCGAUUGGUUUGAAUAAAAAAACAGAAAUACCCUUUAUACUGACCAGCAUACCCCAGAAAAAUACAAGUGGAAGUUUUGGGCUGAAGUUUGUUAGUAUUAUAAGGCUUGAGUAAAGGAAAACAAGCACAACCAAAAAUCCACAAAUGAGUAAUGACCAGUGGAGAACCAUAUAACAGGAAAUAAGGUGAUUUGAGUUGAAGAAUUUGACAGGGCAUUCUAUUAAUCAAAUAAAUAGAAGUAGCACAAGCACGAAACCAAAAUUUUGGAGGUAAAUGGGCAGUUUGUAACAGAGUGAUGGCUGUUUCUAAAAUAUACCUAUGUUUGCGCUCAGCAAGGCCAUUCUGUUUCGGAGUAUAGGGACAGGACAUUUGAUGGACAAUACCCUUGGUAAAGAGGUAAUGUUUGAAUUUAGUACUAAGAUACUCACCACCCCCAUCACUUUGAAAGACUCGAAGAGUAGCAGAAAAUUGAGCAACUAAAAAGGUAUGAAAGUAGGCAAAAAUGGAAUAAACCUCUCCUUUAUUGAUCAUCAGAAAAAACCAAGUAAAUCGAGUACAUUCAUCAAUGAAACUAACAUAAUAUCUGAAACCUUCAACAGAUACAGUGGGAGAAGAACCCCAAACAUCACUAUGUAUGACCUCUCAAGGUUUAACAAAUUUAACUGCGGGAUAGGGAAAAGGAAGUUUAGCAAGUUUACCCUCUAAAAAAGUGGUACAAACGAAUUUGGAUGUGUUUGAAGUGAAAGAAAUCUGGGAUUGAUUUAACAGAGUAGAGGUGACUAUGUUAGAGGGAUGACCAAAACGCUUGUGCCAGAGACUUGUGUUGACCUGUUUACCAAGAUAGCAAACUUGAUUAUUUUGAAAGAGAGAUUAUGAAGGAAACGAAAUGGAGAAAGGAAUAGGAUAUAACCCAGCUCUACACAGUCCCUUGAGAAGGACAUUUCCCAUGAAUUUGUCCUGAAUCCAAAAACCAAAAUCAUCACAAAUAAAUCGACAGUUGUUAUCUUUACACAACUUAUGAACCGAUAAUAAGUGUUGAGAUAGCUUAGGCACAUGCAAAACUUGCUUUAAUUGUAAUGAGCAUUGAUGAACAUCUAAAAUAAAAGAACCAAUAUUAGAAAUGGUCAAACUUGAACCUCCUGUAGUGGUAACAGUAUCAGAUCCUGAGAAAGGUGUAGCCAGAUUGAGUUGAGCCAAAUCAGAAGUCAUAUGUGUUGUGGUGCCAUUAUCAGCCAGCCAUAAUUGUUCAGGAGGGGAAGAAGAUGGAAAAUUGGCAUGCAUAGCACUAAGAUUACUGGAGGGAGGCCUGCCUUGAUAGCUGAAAUUACCUCUAUGAUAACAUUGAACGGCAGAGUGCCCAAAUUUUCAACAAAUUUGACAUUGAAUGGAAGUGGCAAAAGUACUUAGCAGAGUGUGGCGUUGAUAACAAUUAGCAGCUACAUGACCUUUUUUAGUACAAAUUUGACAUGUAGGAAUGUCAAUGCCAGAACCAAGAAUGCCAGGAUUAGAAGUAGGUGGAACCUAAUAAGGGCGUGGACUAGAUUGAUAAUGAUUACGUCCUCUGCCAUAACCCUUAAAAUUAAACCCCUGAUUGCCAAAGUAUCCUCCAGUAGAACCAUGAAAGCUACUGUGAUGACCAUUAAAUCCUCCAUUGAAACCAGAAGGAAAUUAAGAUGGUGGAGCAGACUUGGAGCUAGAAGGAUGAGAAUUAGAGUUACCUUUAUCAAGAGCAAGAGCCUUGCCAGGAGAUAUUUGAUGUUGAGCCAUCACUGCAGGAACAAACAGGGAAGCAGAAUAAGUUUGCUCAAGAAUGGCUUCUUCAGCUAGCAAUUGAGACCGAAAAUCUUUAAGGGAUAACACGUUGUCUCGGUCGCGAACAAUACACCUAAAGGUGUUAUAAUUAGAAGGAAGACCAUUGAGAGCCAAGAUUACAAUAUCAUCAUCUUCAAAAUAAACCCCUGCUACAGAAAGAUGGUCUCGAGCAUCUUUGAUCUUUUACAGAUAUUGAGACACAGAAUCUGAGCCCUUCUUGAUGGUUUGAAGCUCACUUUUCAUCUGAAAAAUAUGUGCCUUAGUAAUUGUGGAAAAUCUAUUCUUCAGUUGAAUCCACAUGUCAUGAGAGCUAACACAUUCAAUAACAUAGGAGAUUGCAGUUGAUGAGAGAGUAGCAAUAAUCAACUGCAUCAAUGUCCGGUCAUACAUUUUCCAAACCUGAUGAUCAUCAGUUUCAACACAUUCAAGGUCAGCAUCUGCAUCAAACCGAUUUGGACACUUUCUUGAUCCAUCAACAAAUCCUAAAAUACCAUAACUCUCAAGUAGAAUAUGCAUAUGAAAAUUCCAGAUGAGAUAAUUUGUGUCAUCCAGCUUGACUGUUACAGCUGUUGAAACUGUAGGAAGUAAACAGGUAAUAGGAGAUUGAACAAUUUAAAGUUGAGAAGUAGUCACCAUUUUAGAGUUCAAGAGAUAGCGAGGAAGAGAAUCACAUACGAUAGGCAUAGUCCCAGAUUUGAGAAGAGAGUUGAAGAAGAAUUUUUCAGUUUGACAAUAUAUCAAAUAGAUGAUAGGUAGAUCAAUUAUUAUGAAAGAAUUGGUUGAUUAAGGCGAUAAUAAUACCAGAAACAGAGAGUAGCAAGAUAUUAGAAGCAGAGAAAUCACAGGAUCACAAGAUAAUAACAAUCCUAAGCUCUGAUACCAUGAAAGCUAGCAAGAAUCAUCACAAAGAUGAACAGAGAAGUGAAUAGAAUUAGAGGGAGAUACUGCAAUGCAGAGGAAGAAGAAAAACAUUUCUGCAUAUAUUCACUUAUAUUUUUACCAACAUUGUUACAUACAUUCAUUUUAUAUGAACCAAGAUGAGAAGCUUGUUUACGUAAUCUAAUCAACAAUAACAGACUUUGUUAACUAUCUAACAAUAUUAACAAACUUUUUAACCAUUAUAUUCUUUAUUCUCUUGACAGGGCAGAAGCAGAGCCUUUGAUAUCUUGACAAAAGUAAAACACAAGGAAAUGCAUGCAUGCACACCACUAAUCUUUGAUUCUGGCGAGAACAGUGAUGACUACACUCUGAACCAAAUAGAAUUACAUUCCGAGAUGAAGAAAUUAAUAACACAGAGCAGUGCUAUAAAGCUACAUGUGAAACCAGAGAUUAAUAAGCAAUGCUGAAAAUUUUAUCAAGCAUAAGACGAGAGAAGCAUAGGACAUAUUUUUCCCACAAUUGAAUAUGUGAAUUGAGCACAGAUUUCCCUGUUGCAAACUGUUCCUAAUUUCUCAAAUGAUUAACUAGAAUACGAGUUGCACUUAAAAUUUUAAAGCAACAUAUAUGCUCUUGAUUUUUAGUGAAUUGCUGAAACAAACAUACAAGCUCGAUCACACCUCUAGAACAGAGUGACAGUUCAUGGUGACCUCAAAGACUGCAUCAAGUCCUCCAAGCUCUCGUAACUUUUCCCUAAAGCCCCCCCCAGUCUUCCUUAAUUACCAUGCCAGAUGUAUCUGAAUGAAUGCAACCCAUACAGUGAAAUGAAUAAGCAAUCAGAAAAGGAGAGAGAGAGAGUGAAAAAAUUUGUCACAAAACUAGAUAAUGGCGACCACAUAUCAAUAAUUCGAGAUAUGACGUGGGGCACUUUCAUCGUGAUUAUUGUUUGUCCAAUAAUGUUGGAUGUAUUAUUUCUUGUUAAGACUUUUUAGGUUGUGAAAAGUCCAAGAUGUAGUAUAAUAAAAUAAAUAUAACCUUUGAUUUUAUCAUUUAUAUUGAGCUGAAAUUUUGACAUACAAUUCUAAAGAUUUUGUGGUUAAAAUUUCAAGAUCUUAAAAAAAAGACCUUUAAAUAAGGAUUUAAAGUUACUAUGAGAUGGUCUUUAUUUACCUAUUUGGUAUUGUUUUUAUUUAUAUUAGGAAUUUUAAUUUAAUUAGUAUUUUAUUAUUAAAAAAUUCUAAUAAUAGAUUGAUUCUAUUAGUUAGGCAAGUUUUAAAUACAAUUUAUUUUUCUAUACAAAAUUUUAUAUCUAGAACAAAUAUAAAUAAAAAUAUUUAGUUUAUUUUUUGUUCGGGUAUUCAUAUUAUUAUUAAGAUUUUUUAAAAAUAUUUAGAGAUUUUUUUUUAUUUCGCUAUUGUGUUAGGACUAUAACCUUAAGGUUUGGAUGUUUGUGAAAGUGGAAGCGGUUACUUUUUAAAAUGUUUUUCACUUAGAAAUGCAUCAAAAUCAUAUAUAUAUUUUUUAUUUUUUAAAAUUAAUUUUUGACAUCAAAACAAUGCAAAAACACCAAAAAAUUAAUUUGAAAAAAAAUCAAAAAUUUUGAAAACCUCGAUCAAAAUGUUGUACCAAACACCCUCUUAGUUUUAUCUUAUUUUUAAAAAAUAAUUCUUGAUAUUAGCAAACAAAACAAUUUAAUAACACAAAAAAAUUAAUUUUAAAAAAUCAAAAUCUUAAAAAACUCUCGUCUAAAUGUUUGCUUUUAGUUUUAUCAUCGUUGCACUGCGUAAAGAUGCUAAAAAGAAAAUAGUUGAUAUAGCCACCUAAGUGCUGGUGGUGUUUCAGAGUGUAGUAGCGAUUGUUUUUUAAAGUGUUUUUUACUCGGAAAUGCAUUAAAAUAAUAUUUUUUUAUUUUUAAAAAAUUAUUUUUAACAUCAGCAUAUCAAAAUGAUCUGAAAAUACUGAAAAAAAUAUUAAUCUAAAUUAAAUAAAAAAAUAAAAAAAAAUCAAUCUCUUUUAAAAAUAUUUUUAAAAUGCAGAAACAAACAGGAUCUCUCAACCUGCUACAAAUAACUGCUGCAAUGGCCUUUCUUUAAUAUUUUACUUACACCAUUCUGCACAAUAUUUUCUUUUGUACAUCCAUGGAACCCUCUUUGCCUUCUACACAAAUUCAAAGCCCAUGCUAAAAACUACAAGGAAAUGAUCUCUACCUUUCUACAAGUUAAAGGCUUUUGGUACUUUCCGUCCUUCUUGGGAAGACCCAUCUCAGUUCAAGAACACUUCGAGCCUCAAUCCACUGAUAUAUUUGUCGUCAGCUUCCAAAAACGAAGGAAAUCUUUGGUUAAUGUUCUCUAAUAAGUACUAACACCUUUUCUCCUUCAACAGUGAAAUUUACGUGCCUUUCACACCUUUUUACGUUCGAACAUUUCAUUUGUUCUUGUGCUCUAAAUUCUAAAUUGAGUCUGUUUUUGUGAGUUCCAUUCUUCUAUUUAAAAGAUUAGAAAACGCAAGAUUGCAUCAAUGCUAAAUGCAAUUUCAAUAUCUGUGUGUGUGUCAAAUGCAUGGUGAUGUUACAUGAUGUGUUUGUUUUUACGUUUCAAAAAUAUUUUUUUAAAAUUAAAUUUUAUUUAUUUAUUUUUUAUUUUAAAUUAAUAUUUUUUAGUUUUUUCGGAUUAUUUUAAUUUACUGAUAUCAAAAUUAACUUUUUUAAAAUAAAAAAAAUAUUAUUUUAAUACAUUUCUGAGUAAAAAAUACUUUGAAAAGUAACUGCUACUACACUUCCAAAUAUACCCUUAAAAAAACAAAGUUAUGGAGUUGGAGGCUCUAAAUAUUCCUCAAAAUAUCAAGUCUUAAGGGCUCGGAGCUAUUAUCCAGUCUUAAAAUUUUUGCAUUUUAAAAAUAUUUUUAAAAAAAUGAAUAUUUUUUACUUUUUUUUAUUUUAAACUAUAUUUUUUUCUUUCUGUUUUUAUAUUGUUUUUAUGUAAAAAAUAAAUUUUAAAAAAUAUAAAAAUAUUUUUUUAAAAACAAUCACCAUACAAUAACAAAUAAAAUAUUAAUAUGAAAUAAAAUCUAAUUCUACCAGCAGACAGCUGAUAAGAAUACUAAAAAAGUGUAAAUUUUGACUUAAUUCAAUUAUUAGAAUUUGGGGCAGCGUAACAGUGUCAAAGAAAAUGUCAGAAAAGUAGGGCAAACAGUGCAAAUACCUUGGAUGAUGGUGACCAAAUAUUUGUAAUUUGAGACAUCUCGUUCUUGAAAAGAAAUAGUUAAUAGUGCCAAUAAUUUUUUUUUAUUAAUUUGAGGUGUUCAGACCAGUUUGCAUGCACCUCGACUAAUACUUACGGUUCUUGAAGUUAACGAAUAAAUAAGCCUCCAGUGGCCAUCAAUAUUAACAACUACAAGGCUCGAACUUGAGACCACAGGGGGGCAAACCCCUUGAUCCAAAACUCUUACCACUUGACCACCUACUAGAUGGUUAGUACCAAUAAUUAAUUUGCUCUCAACUUGCUACAAAUAGCUGCCAUGAUCACAUAUUCAAGAAACACUAGUUUAAGAGCUUGGGAUCAAGAGGUUUGCUCCCUCUGUAGUCUCAGGUUCAAGCCCUGUGGUUGCUCAUAUGAUGGCCACUGGAGGCUUACAUGGUCGUUAACUUCAGGGCCCGUGGGAUUAGUAGAGGUGCGUGUAAGCUGGCCCGGACACCCACGUUAAACUAAAAAAAAAAAAACACUAGUUUAUAAACCCUGAGGGGUAGCUCAACUGGUUAGAUUUUGAGUAUGUUUCCUAAUAAUCACGAGUUUGAGUUCUUUUAGGCCAACUGGAGGCUUACAUAGUUUUAAACUUCAGGACUCGUGAAAUUAGUAAAGGUACAUACAAAUUCAGUGGUGGAGCCAGAAAUUUUUAAAUGAGGAGGCAAAUUACUAACAAAUAUUUGAUAUUAUAUGCUAUACAUAUAUAUGUUAUAUAUAGAAAUGAAUUUGAAAUACAUGUGCCUCAAGUCAAGCAAAAUUAAUUUAAGAAUACUUUUAAAAUGAAAAAAACUUAUGUUAUAAUUGUUUUCUUCGAGAUUUUAUAUUUUAAAACUGCUUCAUAAUAAUUUUAUUUUUAAUUUCAUUAAAAAUAUAUUUCUCAAUAUAUACAACAAACUUUCAUUUAUCUAUUUCUAAAUCUUCCAAGUACUAGGAAAGUUGUUGACAACAAUUUUAUGCUGACAUAUGGUACAUAACAUCUAAAAUCAUAUCUUAAAAGAAUUGUCAUAAAUUGAAGUUGUUCUUACUGACUUGUUGUUUUGUACAAGUAGAUUAAAUAUAAAUAUUAAAUGUUUUUUUAAAUUUAUCUAUUAUGUCUCUAAUUUUUUUAGUUGUCUUAUACUUCAUUUUUAAUCAUUAGUAAAUUCAUUAUCAUCGUUUUUCAUAUGAAAUUCAUAACAAAACUUAUCAAUUCAUCAAAACUCAUUUCAAUUCAUAUCCAUUAGCAUAUAAUAUUACCCAUACACAUAUUAAUUCAACAAACCCAUAAAUUAUUAUAAACCCUAACAUUUUUAAUAACUAAUUUUUGGAGAUGUAGACCCAGUAUUUUUGGAGCUUCCAUAUCUAGUUGACCUAUCAGGAAGAGAUGAAGUUAACGUUUGGGAAUGCGGUGCAAACCAUGUUCCCCUAAAAUUAAAUUUUUUUUUGUUAAAAAUUAAUUUUUUGGUAUAUUUUGGAUCGUUUUGAUGCGCUGAUCUCAAAAAUAAUUUUUAAAAAAUAAAAAAACAUCAUUUUGAUGCAUUUCGGCACAAAAAAUACUUUGAAAAGCAACUGUAACCACACUCCUAUACAAGUAAAGUCUCUAACAGCACAAGUAUAAAAAAUAUAACUGCUGGGCAAACCAACUCUUUUCUCAAACCCAUCAGUUGCCUCAUGAUAUAUAUAUAUAUAUACACAUAUAUAUAUAUAUAUAUAUAUAUAUAUAUACACACACACACCAUGCAUAGAAUUCAUGGAUAAAAGAAAGGAAUUGGAUCUGAUUUGAGGUGGGGGGAUUGCCCCCUCUUGCCUUUAUGUGGCUCCGCCACUAUAUAAAUUAGUUUGGAUAUUUACAUUAAUUAAAAAAAAAAUACUGGUCUAGAAAAGCGAUCUACAAGGUGAUUAUUUAGUUGACUAAUUGAAUCUGUUUUUUAUAAAAAAAAUAUUUUAGAAGAUAAUUUUUAAUAAUUUUAGAUUUUUUUAUAUAUAAAUAUCAAAAAUAAAAUUAAAAAAAUAACAAAAUAUUAUUUUAAUAUAAUUUUAAAUAAAAAACACAUUUAAAAAAACUUAAUAGUAUACUCUCAACCAAGGUUGUCAAUUCCGUUUCGGUAGGUGUUUCGUUUUUUUAAUUGGAAUGGAAUGUUUCAGUUUCGGAGUGUUUCGGCGUGCCGUUCCGGGGUUGUACUGUUCAUAUAUAUAUAUUCAACAAACAUAAUUCAAAUUCAAGAUAAAUUAAUUAUAAAUUAUGCAAUACAAACACAAUGCCAAACAAAUAUAAUUUCAAAAUUUAAAAUAUUUCUAAAUAGUCAAGAUUAAAUAGAUCUUUACCUUAAAGUAAUUCAACUUAAACAAAAUAUCAAAAUAUUAUGAAAGUAAAAUGUUUUAACAUAAAUAUUUUAAAUAUAAAGUUAGGUCAAUGUUAUCAAGGCUAAUUGAAUCUAAAGCAUCCCUUGGUUUGCUCAAAUUUCUACAAAGUAUAAACAUGAAAAAAAAACAUGAAUAUAAACCUUAUAUAUUAGUGAUAAAUCUAAUUUUAAAAAAUUAAUAUCAUUGUUAAUGAAAAUAGUAAUAAUAAUUUUCAAUAUUAUUAUUAAUAUCAUUGUUAUUGAAAAUAGUAAUGAAAAAGAGCCUUUUAUAAUUGGGUGAUUUAAUUAAUUAAAUUGAACAAAAUUCAAUUUGAUUCAAUGGAUUUUCAAGAACGGAACGAAACAAGUGGAAUGAAACCGGAACGUUCCGGGUGGAAUUUAGCCGAAAAAUACAGAACAGACCGAGAUUUAAAAUAAAAUGAAAUUUAUUUUAUUUUUUAAAUUGGUAUGAAAUAUUUCGUUUAUUUCAUACGAAACAAAACAGAAUUGACAACUUGCUCUCAAGCACCCAAAAUAGAGGAUUCAAUUGUAUUGUGGGUUCCACACCAUUUAAAGCUUGCAAAGAAGGAUUUGAAACACAAUCACACUAAAGAUUUGCAAUGGAAUAUAAUAUAAAAUAAUACCCAAUGGCAUCAGCGGACAUGUAAUCAAUAAUAUUAAAAUACAGUAAAUUUUGAUUUAAUUCAAUUAUUGGAUUCUAGGCAGCGUGACAAUGUCAGAAAAUCUUGGAUGAUGGUGACCAAAUAUAUCAGUAAUUUGAGACAACACGUUCCCGAAAGGUAAUAGCUGAUGGUGCCAAAAAUUAAACCAGCUCUCAACUCGCUACAAAUAGCUGCCAUGGCCUUUCAUUCUACCUUAUAUUUCUUUUUUAACUUUCAUGGAAUCCUCUUUGCCUUCCUCCCAAAUCUUGGAUUCUGAUGGAAAUGCUGAGAGGAAAAAUGAAGCUAAAAAUUACAAUGAAGUGAUGUCCACCCUUCCAAAAGUUAAAGGCUUGAGGGGGGAUGAUUAUUACCUGUACCAAGGCUUUUGGUACGCUCCCUUCUUCUUGGAAAGACUCAUGUCUGUUCAAGAGCACUUCCAUCCUCAAUCCACUGAUAUAUUUGUCGCCAGUUUUCCAAAAACUGGCACAACUUGGCUUAAGGCCCUCACUUUUGCUAUUUUCACACGAUCCCGUUUAAGUGGUUCAACAACUAGUUCUUUACUUUCCAAGAUGCCACAUGACUGUGUUCCUUUUUUGAAUUAUAACCUUGCUCAAAACCCCAGUAAUCGGGACUUGACAAUUCCUCUGCUAUCUACUCAUGUUCCUUACAGUUGUUUACCUAAAUCUAUCAUUUCUUCUUGUUGCAAGAUUAUUUACAUUUGCAGGGACGCAAAGGAUGCUUUUGUUUCUUUGUGGUACUUUCAUGCCACGUUGCAAAG